rnacentral:rRNA from 1 species
UAAAUGCGGAAGAGAUAAGUGCUGAAAGCAUCUAAGCACGAAACUUGCCCCGAGAUGAGUUCUCCCUGAGACUUUAGGUCUCCUGAAGGAACGUUGAAGACGACGACGUUGAUAGGCCGGGUGUGUAAGCGCAGCGAUGCGUUGAGCUAACCGGUACUAAUGAACCGUGAGGCUUAACCUUACAACGCCGAAG